GGGAACAGGUAGAGAAACUGGUGUCUACUUCUUGGCUUUUGAAGAGUCAAGGGUCCAGAGAAGGAGGAGAAGUUGAGGCAGGCGGUCAAGCAGGUGCUGAAGUGUGAUGUGACUCAGAGCCAGCCUCUGGGGGCCGUCCCCUUACCCCCGGCUGACUGUGUGCUCAGCACACUGUGUCUGGAUGCUGCCUGCCCAGACCUCCCCACCUACCGCAGGGCGCUCAGGAACCUCGGCAGCCUACUGAAGCCAGGGGGCUUCCUGGUGAUCAUGGAUGCGCUGAAGAGCAGCUACUACAUGAUUGGUGAGCAGAAGUUCUCCAGCCUCCCCCUGGGCCGGGAGGCAGUAGAGGCUGCUGUGAAAGAGGCUGGCUACACAAUCGAAUGGUUUGAGGUGAUCUCGCAAAGUUAUUCUUCCACCAUGGCCAACAACGAAGGACUUUUCUCCCUGGUGGGGAGGAAGCUGAGCAGACCCCUGUGAUGCCUGUGACGUCAAUUAAAGCAAUUCCUUUGACCUGU
rnacentral:sRNA from 1 species